rnacentral:rRNA from 1 species
GCGAACGGGUGAGUAACACGUGAGUAACCUGCCCCCUUCUUCUGGAUAACCGCAUGAAAGUGUGGCUAAUACGGGAUAUUCUGCGCCUGCUGCAUGGUGGGUGUGGGAAAGAUAUUGUUUCGGUGGGGGAUGGGCUCGCGGCCUAUCAGCUUGUUGGUGGGGUGAUGGCCUACCAAGGCGGUGACGGGUAGCCGGCCUGAGAGGGUGGACGGUCACACUGGGACUGAGACACGGCCCAGACUCCUACGGGAGGCAGCAGUGGGGAAUAUUGCACAAUGGGCGCAAGCCUGAUGCAGCGACGCCGCGUGAGGGAUGGAGGCCUUCGGGUUGUAAACCUCUUUCGCCAGUGAAGCAGGCCUGUUCCCCUUUGUGGGUGGGUUGAACGGUAAGCU